CAGCAGCCGCGGCAAUACAGAGGGUGCAAGCGUUAAUCGGAAUUACUGGGCGUAAAGCGCGCGUAGGUGGUUUGUUAAGUUGGAUGUGAAAGCCCCGGGCUCAACCUGGGAACUGCAUCCAAAACUGGCAAGCUAGAGUACGGUAGAGGGUGGUGGAAUUUCCUGUGUAGCGGUGAAAUGCGUAGAUAUAGGAAGGAACACCAGUGGCGAAGGCGACCACCUGGACUGAUACUGACACUGAGGUGCGAAAGCGUGGGGAGCAAACAGGAUUAGAGACCCCGGUAGUCCCUGUCUCUUAUAC
rnacentral:rRNA from 1 species